GUUAAGCGACUAAGCGUACACGGUGGAUGCCCUGGCAGUCAGAGGCGAUGAAGGACGUGCUAAUCUGCGAUAAGCGUCGGUAAGGUGAUAUGAACCGUUAUAACCGGCGAUUUCCGAAUGGGGAAACCCAGUGUGAUUCGUCACACUAUCAUUAACUGAAUCCAUAGGUUAAUGAGGCGAACCGGGGGAACUGAAACAUCUAAGUACCCCGAGGAAAAGAAAUCAACCGAGAUUCCCCCAGUAGCGGCGAGCGAACGGGGAGGAGCCCAGAGCCUGAAUCAGUGUGUGUGUUAGUGGAAGCGUCUGGAAAGGCGCGCGAUACAGGGUGACAGCCCCGUACACAAAAAUGCACAUGCUGUGAGCUCGAUGAGUAGGGCGGGACACGUGGUAUCCUGUCUGAAUAUGGGGGGACCAUCCUCCAAGGCUAAAUACUCCUGACUGACCGAUAGUGAACCAGUACCGUGAGGGAAAGGCGAAAAGAACCCCGGCGAGGGGAGUGAAAAAGAACCUGAAACCGUGUACGUACAAGCAGUGGGAGCACAGAGCAAUCUGUGUGACUGCGUACCUUUUGUAUAAUGGGUCAGCGACUUAUAUUCUGUAGCAAGGUUAACCGAAUAGGGGAGCCGAAGGGAAACCGAGUCUUAACUGGGCGUUAAGUUGCAGGGUAUAGACCCGAAACCCGGUGAUCUAGCCAUGGGCAGGUUGAAGGUUGGGUAACACUAACUGGAGGACCGAACCGACUAAUGUUGAAAAAUUAGCGGAUGACUUGUGGCUGGGGGUGAAAGGCCAAUCAAACCGGGAGAUAGCUGGUUCUCCCCGAAAGCUAUUUAGGUAGCGCCUCGUGAAUUCAUCUCCGGGGGUAGAGCACUGUUUCGGCAAGGGGGUCAUCCCGACUUACCAACCCGAUGCAAACUGCGAAUACCGGAGAAUGUUAUCACGGGAGACACACGGCGGGUGCUAACGUCCGUCGUGAAGAGGGAAACAACCCAGACCGCCAGCUAAGGUCCCAAAGUCAUGGUUAAGUGGGAAACGAUGUGGGAAGGCCCAGACAGCCAGGAUGUUGGCUUAGAAGCAGCCAUCAUUUAAAGAAAGCGUAAUAGCUCACUGGUCGAGUCGGCCUGCGCGGAAGAUGUAACGGGGCUAAACCAUGCACCGAAGCUGCGGCAGCGACACUAUGUGUUGUUGGGUAGGGGAGCGUUCUGUAAGCCUGUGAAGGUGUGCUGUGAGGCAUGCUGGAGGUAUCAGAAGUGCGAAUGCUGACAUAAGUAACGAUAAAGCGGGUGAAAAGCCCGCUCGCCGGAAGACCAAGGGUUCCUGUCCAACGUUAAUCGGGGCAGGGUGAGUCGACCCCUAAGGCGAGGCCGAAAGGCGUAGUCGAUGGGAAACAGGUUAAUAUUCCUGUACUUGGUGUUACUGCGAAGGGGGGACGGAGAAGGCUAUGUUGGCCGGGCGACGGUUGUCCCGGUUUAAGCGUGUAGGCUGGUUUUCCAGGCAAAUCCGGAAAAUCAAGGCUGAGGCGUGAUGACGAGGCACUACGGUGCUGAAGCAACAAAUGCCCUGCUUCCAGGAAAAGCCUCUAAGCAUCAGGUAACAUCAAAUCGUACCCCAAACCGACACAGGUGGUCAGGUAGAGAAUACCAAGGCGCUUGAGAGAACUCGGGUGAAGGAACUAGGCAAAAUGGUGCCGUAACUUCGGGAGAAGGCACGCUGAUAUGUAGGUGAAGCGACUUGCUCGUGGAGCUGAAAUCAGUCGAAGAUACCAGCUGGCUGCAACUGUUUAUUAAAAACACAGCACUGUGCAAACACGAAAGUGGACGUAUACGGUGUGACGCCUGCCCGGUGCCGGAAGGUUAAUUGAUGGGGUCAGCGCAAGCGAAGCUCUUGAUCGAAGCCCCGGUAAACGGCGGCCGUAACUAUAACGGUCCUAAGGUAGCGAAAUUCCUUGUCGGGUAAGUUCCGACCUGCACGAAUGGCGUAAUGAUGGCCAGGCUGUCUCCACCCGAGACUCAGUGAAAUUGAACUCGCUGUGAAGAUGCAGUGUACCCGCGGCAAGACGGAAAGACCCCGUGAACCUUUACUAUAGCUUGACACUGAACAUUGAGCCUUGAUGUGUAGGAUAGGUGGGAGGCUUUGAAGUGUGGACGCCAGUCUGCAUGGAGCCGACCUUGAAAUACCACCCUUUAAUGUUUGAUGUUCUAACGUUGACCCGUAAUCCGGGUUGCGGACAGUGUCUGGUGGGUAGUUUGACUGGGGCGGUCUCCUCCUAAAGAGUAACGGAGGAGCACGAAGGUUGGCUAAUCCUGGUCGGACAUCAGGAGGUUAGUGCAAUGGCAUAAGCCAGCUUGACUGCGAGCGUGACGGCGCGAGCAGGUGCGAAAGCAGGUCAUAGUGAUCCGGUGGUUCUGAAUGGAAGGGCCAUCGCUCAACGGAUAAAAGGUACUCCGGGGAUAACAGGCUGAUACCGCCCAAGAGUUCAUAUCGACGGCGGUGUUUGGCACCUCGAUGUCGGCUCAUCACAUCCUGGGGCUGAAGUAGGUCCCAAGGGUAUGGCUGUUCGCCAUUUAAAGUGGUACGCGAGCUGGGUUUAGAACGUCGUGAGACAGUUCGGUCCCUAUCUGCCGUGGGCGCUGGAGAACUGAGGGGGGCUGCUCCUAGUACGAGAGGACCGGAGUGGACGCAUCACUGGUGUUCGGGUUGUCAUGCCAAUGGCACUGCCCGGUAGCUAAAUGCGGAAGAGAUAAGUGCUGAAAGCAUCUAAGCACGAAACUUGCCCCGAGAUGAGUUCUCCCUGACUCCUUGAGAGUCCUGAAGGAACGUUGAAGACGACGACGUUGAUAGGCCGGGUGUGUAAGCGCAGCGAUGCGUUGAGCUAACCGGUACUAAUGAACCGUGAGGCUUAACCUUACAACGCCGAAGGUGUUU
rnacentral:rRNA from 1 species